UCCAGCCACCAUUCCCUUAUGUUUCCUACUUUCCGUAUGCAGUUAAAACAGGAGAAAAAUGCUUCGGUUUCUGCAGGUGGAAGCACAGAGUGUGAUGGAGGUGGAAAUGGGAAGGCUGAGAUGGCUCGGGGUGGGGGGGAGGGAGAUGGGGCCAAGCAGGCAGAUUCCUUGCAGAGCUGCCCUGCCGUGGUGAGGACAGAAAGAGUUAAGGCGCAGCGUUGCUGGGGGAGCUCAGGUGUGGCUCUGCUUUCCUUCCUGGCCUCCAGGAUUACAGCACUGCCUUGCCAGGAUUUGGAGAGAGGUUAGGAAAUACUGUCCCAGGAGAGCUGCCCCCAGACCUGGGGCUAGGAGGGUCCCAUCCCUGCAGCGUGGGGCCAUGAGGGCAGCACCUUCCCUGGGGACAAAGCUGGCCCAGAGGACAAUGUUGGUGGGGAAGGCAAAGCAGACGGUGCACCCAGAUUUGCCCCGCGCAGGCUGGUUUUGAACGGCUCUGAGAAAGCAGCCGGUGCUCAGGAGAGCAAAAAGGAUGAGAUUUACUGUGACUGCUGCUUGGCCAAGGAGGUGGCAGUGGUGACGUCCUGCCUCGCCUGCCCGGAGCAUCGCCAGGCUGCCCUGGGGAGCAGCGGGUUGCAGAGCCGGACCUGCAGCCCCUCCGAGGACACGCCGACCCACGGGUUAGAGCACUGAACUCUAUAACCAGAAACCUGGUCAUGAGUCAAUAGCCUGGGAUGAACUUCUUCAGCCCCACUUGGUGUAUGACUGGAAGCUGAAGUCUCUUGAGAAAACAAUUCUCAAACUACAGAAUAACACCCUGUCGAGCAUGGAGUGCUGUGAAUUCAGGAAGAGCUCCGGGGUGGAUGCUCUUCUUUGCCUUUACAUCGGGCUGAAGGACAAACUGUCUCAAAUCAGAGAUUUGUGGGAUCAAAAUUAUGAUGUCUGCAACUGGACCAACCAACCGUCACAACUCUGCCCCCCAACCAAAGACAAGGAGUGAUUUCCUCAAGUCAUGCAAUGCAGAGCAGGAGAAAACCAAAAAGUGACCAGCACUGCUCCUUGGGAACAGCUGUACCCAGAUCAUCCUGGAAGAUUGGAACACUGGCAUCAAGCGCUGUCUAACAAGAGUUUGUACUUUAGCCGCUACUAUUUUGAGGUUGAGAUACUGAGGCUGAUGUUUACCUUGGCAUGACGUACAGAAGCACUGACCAGACAGGUUCAGAAAGCAACAGCUGCACCCUGGGGAACAACAGCUGGAGCAUCCUGCAGAAUGGGAAAGGGUUUUCUGCACGGCACAGUGAUGUGGAGAUGCGCCUCCAAAUGGAUGUGGUUGGUAGGAUAGGGGUCUAU